rnacentral:rRNA from 1 species
AACGAACGCUGGCGGCAGGCCUAACACAUGCAAGUCGAGCGAGGACUUCGGUCCUAGCGGCGGACGGGUGAGUAACGCGUGGGAACGUGCCCUUUGCUUCGGAAUAGCCCUGGGAAACUGGGAGUAAUACCGGAUGAGCCCUUUGGGGGAAAGAUUUAUCGGCGAAGGAUCGGCCCGCGUUGGAUUAGGUAGUUGGUGGGGUAAUGGCCUACCAAGCCGACGAUCCAUAGCUGGGUUGAGAGGAUGAUCAGCCACACUGGGACUGAGACACGGCCCAGACUCCUACGGGAGGCAGCAGUGGGGAAUCUUAGACAAUGGGGGAAACCCUGAUCUAGCCAUGCCGGGUGAGCGAUGAAGGCCUUAGGGUUGUAAAGCUCUUUCAGCUGGGAAGAUAAUGACGGUACCAGCAGAAGAAGCCCCGGCUAACUCCGUG